UACGGGGGGGGCAAGCGUUGUUCGGAAUUACUGGGCGUAAAGGGCUCGUAGGUGGCCAACUAAGUCAGACGUGAAAUCCCUCGGCUUAACCGGGGAACUGCGUCUGAUACUGGAUGGCUUGAGGUUGGGAGAGGGAUGCGGAAUUCCAGGUGUAGCGGUGAAAUGCGUAGAUAUCUGGAGGAACACCGGUGGCGAAGGCGGCGUUCUGGACUGCAACUGACACUGAGGAACGAAAGCCAGGGGAGCAAACGGG
rnacentral:rRNA from 1 species